UAGGGAAUAUUGCACAAUGGGGGAAACCCUGAUGCAGCGACGCCGCGUGAAGGAAGAAGUAUCUCGGUAUGUAAACUUCUAUCAGCAGGGAAGACAAUGACGGUACCUGACUAAGAAGCCCCGGCUAACUACGUGCCAGCAGCCGCGGUAAUACGUAGGGGGCAAGCGUUAUCCGGAUUUACUGGGUGUAAAGGGAGCGUAGACGGAGAGGCAAGUCUGGAGUGAAAACCCGGGGCUCAACCCCGGGACUGCUUUGGAAACUGUUUUUCUAGAGUGUCGGAGAGGUAAGUGGAAUUCCUAGUGUAGCGGUGAAAUGCGUAGAUAUUAGGAGGAACACCAGUGGCGAAGGCGGCUUACUGGACGAUGACUGACGUUGAGGCUCGAAAGCGUGGGGAGCAAACAGGAUUAGAUACCC
rnacentral:rRNA from 1 species